GCUCAUCUCAUCCUGGGGCUGUAGCCGGUCCCAAGGGUAUGGCUGUUCGCCAUUUAAAGAGGUACGUGAGCUGGGUUUAAAACGUCGUGAGACAGUUUGGUCCCUAUCUGCCGUGGGCGUUGGAUACUUGACGGAGCCUGCUCCUAGUACGAGAGGACCGGAGUGGACGUACCUCUGGUGUACCGGUUGUCAUGCCAAUGGCAUUGCCGGGUAGCUAAGUACGGAAGAGAUAACCGCUGAAGGCAUCUAAGCGGGAAACUCGUCUGAAGAUUAGGUAUCCCGGGGACUUGAUCCCCCUAAAGAGUCGUUCGAGACCAGGACGUUGAUAGGUCGGGUGUGGAAGCGCAGUAAUGCGUUAAGCUAACCGAUACUAAUUGCUCGUGAGGCUUGAUCCUAUAACACUGAUGGUUAUG
rnacentral:rRNA from 1 species